UCAAGUUGUAUUUAUAUUUCGCCUAGCAACAUCUCGAAAAUAUCUUACCGUAGUAAUUGACAAGAUUUGAACCCGGGAUUCUUGAGUACCAGGCCAGCACGAUACGCUAGCACCCAAACUCACCAUUCCUUAGAUGUUCAGAACGAAUCUAUGUGUUACAUUUUACUCAACAAGUUUUACGAAAAUAUUUUACGAAGUUACCUUACAAGAAUUGAACACGGGAUAACCCGGUCCUAUUCCAACAUGUUACGCACACGCCUAAACUUGUUCAACCUGACAAGUUCAGAUCUGAUGUGUGUGUUACGUUUUAGUUUAACAGCAAGAAAUGUUAGCAAAGAAGUCAUUGCCGAGCAGAGAUACGCGGGCCAGUUUCCGGGCCAGUUGGCCAUACGCGGGCCAGUUGCGGAAAUUUUCAUUUAUGAACGAGAGAGAAAUACUUGUACAGUUCUUUUCGUGCAAACCAUUUAUGAUUGAUAGAACCGCGCUAUAUUUAUUAUUGUUUAUAUAUACUAACAAUAAAAAUAAUUUACAAUACAGUCGUUCGAUGCUAAUUAAUCGAAGCAAUAUCCCUUCAAACAUGGAUUCACACAGUAAAAUGUGGUACUCGCCUCUGGUUUGCUUGUCCGCAAAAACGGAUAGAUAUAUGGCCAAAUAAAUGUUAAAGAAAAACCACAUUACUGCUUUAGGGGUAGCUAGAACUAACCGCACUAGAAAAGAAUAUAUUUGGAGCACGUGUAUGCCGAAACUGGACAUUUAUAAUUAUACGAGUUAUUUGUAAUAAUGAAACUGCGCCUAUAGUUUUACAACCCCCUAACUAAUAUUAAGCCACAGUGACGAGUAAUAAACAGCAGCAGGGGCGUGUACAAGGGGGGGGGGGGUCCAGGGGG